rnacentral:rRNA from 1 species
CCAACGACUCUCGGCAACGGAUAUCCCGGCUCUCGCAUCGAUGAARAACGUAGCGAAAUGCGAUACUUGGUGUGAAUUGCASAAUCCCGUGAACCAUCKAGUUUUUGAACGCAAGUUGCGCCCGAUGCCAUUAGGUUGAGGGCACGUCUGCCUGGGUGUCACAU